rnacentral:lncRNA from 1 species
GCCUUUCGGAGCUGUGCGGCAUUCUGAGCAGGAAUGGCAGUGUGGACCUCUGUGAUGGGACAUCUUGUGGGAUCUCACAGCCAGUUCUGUGGCAAAGGAGGAUGAAGGCUUACGAGGACUCGUCAGGAAGCUGGAUAACAGAGCGAGCGCAAUGUACAAAUAAUGGUUUGAAUAAAGAAAGGUAUUAAUGGGUCACCUCAAGUGAAGGCACUGCAAACACAAUGAUUGGUCAUUCUGAAUUUCCGGUCCUUCAUUCUGAAUUUCAAAGGCUCCUGUGACAAGUGGACAUGCAGUGACUGCACCUUUGUUUCUGAGGUGCCUGGAUGGAGGCUCAAAUAGAAGAUGGUGUCAGAUAUAUUGUGUUAAAAUUUUACCAUUAAAGUGUAUUAUAACAUGAA